rnacentral:rRNA from 1 species
UACUAGAGUAGCACUCGCAUAUCAAUAAGCGGAGGAAAAGAAACUAACAAGGAUUCCCCUAGUAACGGCGAGUGAAGCGGGAAGAGCUCAAAUUUGAAAUCUUAAAGGGUUUCCCUUUACGAAUUGUAGUUUAAAGAAGUGUUUUCUGUUGAGGUUUUGGUAAAAGUUCUUUGGAAUAGGACAUCAUAGAGGGUGAGAAUCCCGUAUUUGACCUUUACUUUCAACUUUGUGAUACACUUUCAAAGAGUCGGAUUGUUUGGGAAUGCAGUCCAAAAUGGGUGGUAAAUUUCAUCUAAAGCUAAAUAUUGGCGAGAGACCGAUAGCGAACAAGUACCGUGAGGGAAAGAUGAAAAGAACUUUGAAAAGAGAGUUAAACAGUACGUGAAAUUGUCAAAAGGGAAGCGUUUGACACCAGUGUUGUUUUUCUGAAAAUCAAUUAAAGAACUGUUUAUGCUAAGUUGUUUAGACUUUAUCAGCUAGCUGUUUAGUUUUGAGCUUUUCUUUAAUGCACUUUUCAGUUAACAAGUCAACAUCAAUUUCUUUUGCUGUAAAAAAGCUUGAGGAAGGUGGCUUGAGAUUCGUCUUAAGUGUUUAUAGCCUCUUGCCUAUGCAGUCGGAGAGAUUGAGGUCUGCAGCGUAGAUCCUUCGGGGCUAAAUGCAUUUGUGCUAAGUUAUAGCAUUUUAUAGGACAACUUGUUGACUAUGAUUUGUCUUGUAGCUUACUCGCUUAUGUUAUUUUACCUACGCUUAGGAUGUUGAGUCAUCACACAUCUCU